UUCCGGUGUCGCGGCUGAAUAAGUCCUUCUGGACUCUUCCUCACCUCGUCGGCGCUCCGCUCCGGCACCGGCGGCGAGUCCAUGGAGGAGGGGCUUCACCUGUGGAGCCCCUGUAUAGGAGUUCGGCGGCGGCGGCUCGUCAUCACGGUGGUGUGCGGUCGCCAGCUUUUGGCUUUGCAGGAUGUUGUGCUUCGGUGUCGGAGAGGCGGCUACGGUGUCUGUGGCAGCAAGGUUAGUGGAUCUAUUCCUUGUGCUCUCCGCCGUCCGGCGGGUUCGGCAAAUCCAGGCUUGGGUGAGCGUGGGGCGUGUCCUCGGCCAAUGGUCCUCCUUCGUUUUCGUCUCGUGCUUGGUGGCGGGUUUCGUCUGCGGCUCUGUUCAAAGCCUUUGUGCGAUGGCGCUCCCUUGAUCCGGGCGGCUGCUCUCGUUGAGCUCUUCCAGCGACCUGUUCGGUGGUGGUGCUCGGCGACCGGCGACGACAUCGGUGAUCACGGAGGUCCCGGAGGACUUCUUUGUAAUUAGUUUGGUUGGAACGGUUGUCCUCUCCGUAUCCUUUGCGUAUGAUCCUGUACGUGUACGAGUAUAUGUAUGUUUUCCAUAAAUCUUAAUAUAUACUCGUCUUUAUAAAAAAAGGACAGGCUGCUGCGUUUAUUUGGUCUCGACUCUCGAGUCUCGAAUCUCUUCUCCCACGGCGAUUCGAAACAAAUUUAUUUUCCCCGAAGAAAGGAAAGGAAGGAGGCGGCCGGCGAGGUAAUCGGCCAUGGGGGACAGCCAGUACUCCUUCUCCCUCACCACCUUCAGCCCGUCUGGUAAGCUGGUGCAGAUCGAGCCCGCCCUGACGGCGGUGGGCUCCGGCCAGACCUCCCUCGGGAUCAAAGCUGCUAAUGGAGUUGUUAUUGCCACUGAGAAGAAACUGCCGUCUAUUUUAGUUGAUGAAACAUCUGUGCAAAAGAUUCAAGCGUUGACUCCAAAUAUUGGAGUUGUUUACAGUGGGAUGGGUCCAGAUUUUCGCGUUCUCGUGAGGAAAAGCCGGAAGCAAGCACAGCAGUAUUACCGAUUGUACAAGGAAUCUAUACCUGUUACACAGCUUGACAGAGAAACCGCUGCUGUUAUGCAGGAGUUCACAGUCUGGCGGCGUAAGACCAUUUGGUGUAUCUUUGUUGAUAGCUGGGUAUGAUGACAAUGGACCCCAGUUGUAUCAGGUAGAUCCAUCAGGAUCAUACUUCUCCUGGAAAGCAUCAGCAAUGGGGGAAAAUGUGUCCAAUGCAAAGACAUUUCUUGAGAAGAGGUACACAGAAGAUAUGGAGCUUGAUGAUGCCAUCCAUACUGCAAUUUUAACUCUGAAAGAAGGCUACGAAGGGCAGAUCUCGUCCAACGAUAUUGAGAUCGGGAUAAUUCGACCUGACCGUGAGUUCAGGGUUCUGAGCCCUGCGGAGAUCAACGAUUUCCUGGAAGAGGUGGAGUAAAGCUGGCCCUCGACAAUUCGCGGGUUCCAAAGAUGAUGAGAAAUGCAAAAGCCCAAGCAGCUCCCACCGCCUAAGUUCAUCACAUCUUCAGGAUUCUUUUUCCAAAUCUUUUGAGCUGAUUAUCAGCGGCAUGUCGUAGACUCGGUAGGAGCAGCUAGGCCUCCAGGUAGAUGUUGGUGCGUCGUGCAUGCUGUUCCCUGCUUGUCGCACUGCCCGCCACUUGCCUGGCGAGCUUACAAUGUGCGGUGGUGCCCGUCCUCGUGUGUCCCCCGGGGGCCCAUGUACAACGUCCAUUUCACCGUCCCGAUCAGAGGUCAGCCAGCAUCUAUGUGGUCGGGAGUUGAUUUUUGUUGCGCAAGAUAAAAUAGGGAUCAAAGUCAGACCGGGCCGUCCUAAUCA